CAGGUUGGGGUCUCAGAAGUCAGUGCUCUUGGGGUGUCUCCACCACAGCCUGGAGUCUGGUCCUCAUGCUCCUCACUAAAGGCACAGGUGA
rnacentral:pre_miRNA from 1 species